CAGCAGCAGCCGCGGGAAUACAGAGGUUGCGAGCGUUAAUCGGAUUUACUGGGCGUAAAGCGUGCGUAGGCGGCUUUUUAAGUCAGAUGUGAAAUCCCUGAGCUUAACUUAGGAAUUGCAUUCGAUACUGGGAAGCUAUAGUAUGGGAGAGGAUGGUAGAAUUCCAGGUGUAGCGGUGAAAUGCGUAGAGAUCUGGAGGAAUACCGAUGGCGAAGGCAGCCAUCUGGCCUAAUACUGACGCUGAGGUACGAAAGCAUGGGGAGCAAACAGGAUUAGAUACCCCGUAGUCCCUGUCUCUUAUACC
rnacentral:rRNA from 1 species